rnacentral:piRNA from 1 species
UCUAAAGGUCAAGUGAUUUCUCAGGUCAGA